rnacentral:piRNA from 1 species
UAGUGAAAGAAUGUUGGCAUGGGU